rnacentral:lncRNA from 1 species
AUAAACCAACCAAUCGAGCCUAUACAACUAAAAAUGAGCAAUACUAAUAAACUAAUAAAUUUUCAGCAGAAAUCAAUUAAACACCUCAUAAAUCUAAUAAAUUUAAGAUAAAUUACUAGAAAACAUUGCCCAUAUAAAUUGCUUAGCAGGUUCAGAAAAGUGAAACAUAAACUCAAAUGCAUAGAUUCCAUACCCCAAAUGAUGGAAUACUCCAUGCUAGCAUAGCUUUUACUUCUUGACUCAAGCAAGAAAUCUCCCACCAUCGACAAAAUGAACCAAGAAUACUUUUACUUGGUAAAAAAAUGUAAAU